UGGAGGCCCAAACGGGGCAGUGUGCUUGU
rnacentral:piRNA from 1 species